UGGUGCCACACGCGUGCUCCCGGUCUGUCCAUCGGUGUCACAUGUGUGCUCCAUGCCCACUCGGCAGUGCCACGCGCGUGCUCCUGGUCUUCCCACCAGUGCCACACAUAUGCUCCCGGUCUGUUCCUUGGUCCCACGCAUGUGCUGCUUGUCCAUCAGUGCCAUACGUGUGCUCCUGGUCUGUCCAUCAGUGCCACAUGCAUGUUCCAUGCCCACUCAGCAGUGUCACGUGUGUGCUCUUCUCCUGUCUGUUGGUGUCAUAUGUGCUCUCUGACUGUCCAUCAAUGCCACAUAUGUGCUCCUGGUCUGUCUGUUAGUGCCACAUGUGUGCUCCAUGCUCACCCGGCAGUGCCAUGUUUCUGCUUCUGGUCUGUCUGUUGGUGCCACCAGACGUUCCUUGUCAGUCCAUCACUGCCACGCAUGUGAUCCCAGUCUGUCCAUGAGUGCCACACGUGUGCUCCAUCUGUCCAUCGGUCCCUUACCUGUGCUCCCUGUCAGUGACCUGCAUGCUCCCAGUCUGUCCAUCAGUGCCAUAUGUGUGUUUUCUGCCUGUCCAAUUAAUGCCAUGCAUGCAUGCAGUCUGCCCAUUGGGGCCACGUAUGUGCUCCAUGUCCACUCAACAGUGCCAUGCAUGUGCUCCUGCUCUGUCCACCAGUGCCACGUGAGCUUCAUGCCCACCCAGCGGUGCCACACACUUGCUCCAUCCCAAGUCGGGGGCACAGUAGUGGACCAUACGAGGGCUGCCUGCAUGGUCAGCAGUGGUACGGCUGGCAUGAGGAUGUAGGUGCAGGAGCCAGGAGACUGUGGGAACCUGGAAGAGGAAUUUGAUGUGUCAAGGAGUUGUGAGGGCAGUGCUGGAGAUGCUGGGUGUGGCAUCGGAGCAGCCAGGGCACAGCCAGCAGCAGUGCCUCAUGCCAAGGCUGGAGACGGGGGAAGGUGAGGGCGCUUGAUGGCUGAAGGGCAGUUUUGUUCACUGUCCCUUGCCCUGUGCCAGUCACAUGGUGCCCAUCCAAAAGAUCUUGAGGUGGGAAUGGAAUGCUGCAGGAGCUGAGCCAUGGGUUAGCCAUGCCAGAGGGGGUAUGGUGAAACCAGGGGAUGUCUGUGACACUGGAACAUUGGCAUUGCUUAUUGCAACAUGCCACUGUAGAUCAUGUCGACCCUCCCUAUCCCACUGGAUAUGUGGACAGCUCUCAAAACAUUCUCAGUGUCACCGUGCCGUUUGCUCUGGGCCCAACAUGACGCCAUUGGAGAGGGACUUGGGGAACACAGAGGAUCUUCCCUGUUGUGGAAUUUCACCCCAAGGCAUGUUGUACAGGAUGCCUACAGGAACUCACUGGCGUGCUGCUGCAGUAUUUCUGAUGACCGCUAUGAACAGGAUGGACAUCCUCUGAAGCCUCAGCCAGCCAUGGAAGCAUGGCUUUUUCUGGGGAUGGUUGUGAGGAGCAGUGAGUGGAUGGAAAUGGCAGAAAAGAAAAGGGUGUUCUGCAGAAUUUGGGUUCAGUGGGUAACUGUCUUGCAACACCUUGGUGGAUAAAGUCAGGCUCAGCUCUCAGCUUGCUCCAGUCCCUGGGCAUACACUUGUCGCAAACAAAGCAGUGACAGGCUGAGCUGUUUUUCAGAGCUGGCUGGCACGGAGGACCCUAUGGGGGAUCCUAUGAGAAUUUGGUGAAUCAGCAUUGUGAGAGAGGUGGAGACCUCUGGAUGUCCAGGAGAGCCAGAGUAGAUCCCAUUUCUGGAGUCCGGCCACUUUGCAGGAGAUGUUGAGCAAAGAAGGGAGUAAAAGAACAUUUUGCUUCUGCUGAGGAGUUGCUCCACCUAGGAGUGAUGCUGCGUUUUUCACCAUGAUCAGACUCCCUCGCUGAGGUCACCACUGAAUUCCCCACCUUGCAGUUGAGCUACUGAGGAGCCAGUGCAAAGGGAAUGUCCUCUUGCAGCACCAUAGGCAGGGGCAGAAGUCUUCUCCUACCUCAGCCCAACCAUUGGAAGGUUUAGGGUCCACCUACAAAGCAACACAGAAGGUCCCUCUCUGGUGAGCAUGGACAUGAGUUUCCCCAGUUUGUGAAUGCAAGGCCAGUCACACCAAGAACUGAUGUCCUCUGAGUGAGGAUUCUGGGCAGACCCUUCACACUUGGCCUAAAGGUUCAGAUCAAUAUUUUAGGUCCAAUCCAGCAUGGAUUCAAUGAGGGUUUAACUUGCACUGCAUGAGCAAUCUCAUGACACUCCAGAUUAGAAUGCAUGAUGUUGAGGCACUCUUGUCCUUAAAGGUAGGGAAAAAGGAAAGUGAAAUUGUUUGGUGGCACUGGACCUUCAGCUGUUGGUUCAGGCUGUCAUGUACUGGGUGUGUUCAGCACAGGGUGUCUGCUGAUGGCUUUUUUAUAGACAAAUGCGGUGACUCCAGGUUCAUUGCUAUUUAUACUGUAUUGAAAAAAAGGUUGGAUUUGGGUUUUAUCUGAUCACUCUGCUGCUCUUUCCUCUUUGAGGUGCCUUUCUAAUUUCCUACAAGUUGUGUCUUGUUCUAAAGAAAUUUUUGGUCCUCUGACAAAAGUGCUCAGCUGGACCAGGGAUUGAACAUGCACAGGGCAAAGCAGUUGGGACAUACUGAGGUCUGAACAACAUACAGGAUGGGAAGAAAUCCUGCCAUGCUGCCAGAGACAUCCCAUCAAAUACUCCAGAGAUCAUAGAAACGUAGAAUGGUUCGGGUUGGAAGGGACCUUAAAGACCAUCUUGUACCAACCCCCCUGCCCUGGACAGGGGCACCUUCCUCUAGACCAGGUUGCUCCAAGCUCUGUCCAACUUGGCCUUGAACAUCUGGUCUUGUUGGUCAGCAUCUGCUGACCAUUGCACUCGAGUAGAGCCAAAACUGGAACUAUUUACCAACUGCCCCCGAGUGUUGUUGGGUGGGAUCAGAGCCAGACAGAGGGGUGGGCACGGGAGCAUCCAACCCACCCAUAGGCAUUGUUUGGUGCUAAGCAACACAAAGUGAACUCAGGAGUUAAUAACCAUCCCUUCUGCUGGCAUCCAGGAGUGCUUCCUUGGGGAGGGACAGAGAAUGUUGAGGUACUUAUGGGAUCACUAGGGAUGAUGUUUGGCUCUUGUAACUUUACAUUCCCAGCUGGACAGCCAGUGGUACCUGCGUGUCUCAACUGUCUCUACAGUCAGCGUGAGACAAUGAGCACCUACAGAAACCAUUCAUCCCCAUCCUCUGAACACUCCCUAGGGAAUGAGAUUAAUUGCUCGCUGGAACUGCCUUAUUCUUCCAAUAAAACACAAAGAGAGCCUGUGUGUCUCUCUCAGUCUGCAUCUGAGAUGUUCACCUGCCCGAGGCUGGGUGGGAGACCUGUGAUCCAUGGAGAGACCUGUGAUCCACCAAGGGGAGACUUGUGAUCCACCAUCUGGGUAGUUGUGAUCCACCAGCAGAAUGGAAAAGGGGAAUGAUUCCAAGUCUUCGGAGAUUCAUUUCAAGGGAUGAAUAGAGAAGUAUGAGGGCUCUGGCGACACUUCGGGCUGGUUCUGGUGAGCCACACUGAGAGAAUUUAGCCCGAAACUAGUGCAGAGAGAGUUUGCUGAAUUGUUCAGGAGAGAGGAGAGUGUCUUACAGAGAUGACUCAGCUCCCUGAUCUCUGAGAAAUGGAUGCUGAGAAAAGACAUGUUUGUGGACAACUGGAGAUAGACACAAGGGAGGGACAUGGGCUAAACCCUGGCACCACCUUGGGAUAAGAUGAGAAAGAAUGAACAGAUCACGGAUGACCCUGUGUCUGACAUGAGGAGAUGCUGACCAAGCAUUGGAGCCACCAGGGUCUACAGGAGUGCCUCAGAGAAGAAUUGGGAAGAGAACCUGGUGGCGGCAAAAAGGAGCUUGGUCAGGUUCUGGGUGACAUGGCCCAGCGUGGCUGCCUCUCGCAGCAGGCACUGGGCACUGUCAGGGGUCCCAUCGGGGUCUCUGUCCCCAAAGUGAGAAAUCAGAUUUAAUUCUCCUGUAGCUUUUGGUAACUCUGAGCCUAAACAAUGAGGUUUUCCCAAGUAGAAUUACUCUUGACUUUAAUCAAAACUCAAUUUAGAUCCAGGUCAGAUAAUAAGUCAAAGCAGCUCAGGGAAGUCAGCAAGGAGUGUGAAUUCCUUCUGGAGCCUCUUGGAUUGCUGUCCAUAUCACAGCACCAAGCAUCAUUUGGUGAGGCUUCUGCUUGGAAGAGGCCUGGGACUAAGAGAAGCAGAGCAGCCGGAGUCACAAAUUAAGAGGGGAUUUAAUAGACAUUUUUCCCACCUUCUUAUUCUGUCUCCAGCGUGUCUUCAGUGGGCUGGGAAUCAAACCACGUGGCCACUGGAUUGAUGUGCUUGGGGGAAGAGCCACAGAAGGAGUGGGGUAGCCUGGCGCUGUGGGGAAGAACCGAAAUACCCAGCAGCUGCCAGAGCUGUGUGGGAGCCCGGGCAGGAACAGCCAGGGAGCUGCAGAGCAGGGCUGAGCUCCAUUCCCAGAGCUGCGUGGGGAAGGCUGAUGGCACCUGCCCACAUCCUCUGUGACUGCACAUGAUGCCACGUCUCCCUCAGUUUCAAGACCAGCAAAUUCACCCUUCCCUGCUUUUUCUCUUCAGGAGAAAGAAGGGGGAAAAAAACCCAACCGGGAGACCACAGAUUUCCAGGCUAGGCUGUGCUAAGGCGGCACAAGCUGUCAGCAGGCACGCCGGGAGCAGCCGGGAGGAGCUGGGGUGCCCUCUGCAAGCUGGAGAUCUCAUUGUCUGUGUGGCAGAGGACAAGAGGGAAGGAAUAUGAACCAAAAAUAGUCUUACAGUUUAAGAAGAAAGACUAUUCCUGUGACCUCUCACAGUUGUGUUGGGUUAACAGUUGGACUCGAUGAUCUUAGAGGUCUUUUCCAUCCUUUGCAGUUCUGUGAUUCCAUGGUUGUCUGGUUCUGUGCUGGGGGGGGGUCUGUGUUCCUCCACCAGUCCAGAGAAAGGUCCUCUCCAUUUUUCCAGGCAUGAUCUGUUAUUCCAGGCACAUCUACUCAGGCUGUCCUACCCAGCCCCUUCGCCCUCCUUUGAAAUCCUCACCAUGGGUACACUCCAGCAGCACCUGCAGCUGCAAACAUCUGGAUGGGGCUUUCCAAUGAGCCUGCUCUGAGGUCAGGGGAUUGCUCUGCUUUCUGAGGAACCCUGCUGCUUCUGCAGGACCCCUGGGCACAGUUGGCACAGGAGGGGAGAGCUGGGGUGGGCAGCUCUGAUCCUUCCAGAAGGGAACUCUGCAGUCCAUGGGGGUCUGGCCUUUAGCUUACAACAUUUAAAUGCCAAUGCUGGAAGGAAUUCCUGGCAGGUGGAGAAGACACCUUGUGCCUGGGGAGUGCUGCCUGCUCAGCAGGCCCCAGGAAAAGCUGGGUUUACAUUUUUGGUGUGUUGGGGGGCACAAGACCCCCUGUGUCAAUAUUUCUGGGUGAGAUUUAAUGGACUCAGGCUGAAUCCUGGGAACUUGUACAGCAGCAGGAUAACGAAAUGCCAGCUAUUCCUUGGUCUGGCUGCAUCCCACUUCCGAAUACUUUAAAGGCUUUGACCCAGCUGUUAACUCAGAAGUGGACACUGGUUCAUGUGGCUCAUCCAUCCCCUCCUGCCUAGCUGGGUGCCCAGCAGGGGCUGUGCUGAGGGCACGAUGUGGGUGUUGGUAGCAGAGCUGCUCAUGGCCGUCCCUGAGCAAGUUCCCAGUGCCAUCCAUCCCUCUCCAAAGGCUGGGUACCAGCAGAGCUGAAAAACCUCACCUGCAACAUCACCCCUAGGAGAUGCUGAGCUUCAGCCAAGCUACUUCCAUGUGGGACAGGAGACAGCAGAGCCCUCCCAGAGCCAGACCCCAUCCCAUGGGAUGCUACUGAUUCUCAUUCAACUUUCUGCGUCAGACAGUGGCCAAGGAAGCACUGGGGCAAUUUCUCCUGGAUUAAUCUGGGGACAGUGUGAUUGGGUUUUUGCCUGAUUUCCUCAGGGAUGUCCAAGUGUGGGCUGGUCCCAGAAUAAAGUGGAUUCUGUGCCAUCCUAGGGCUGAACGGGUUAAUUUUUGUGCUUCCCUCCCCAGCUCGAUGCGGACUCUGGCUGGGACAGAACAUCUGUCUGUUGCUAUGGCUGCAGUACACUUGAAGGGGAUGACUGGAUAAUUAUUGCAAACAUCCAUCCUGCCUGGUGUGCUCCCGGACCCUCCCUGCCCCAGCCAGGGCAGCGGCCGGUGCUCGGGCCCAGCUUCACUCGCAGGGACCCUACCGAGAGAUGGCACAGGAUCCCACCUGGCUGCUGCUGAGCAGGACCCUGCCAACUCAGCACAAACCAGGCUGCAGACCCCCGGGACUGCCACGCCAUCAGGGGCUUGGGAAGCAGCAAGGUCCUGGGUCACAGCGUGGACCCAAGGCUUUCCCUGGUUCUCCCCUAGGUAGGCUGCUGCUGCUGCCAGCACUGUUGCCUGCGUUCCCUUCCCUGCCUGCACACCCUGCCUGUGUUCCCCUGUUGUGCUCCCUGCCUGGGCUUCCUUCCUGCUCUCCCUGCCUGUGCUGUGCUGCCUGCAGCUCAGUGACUUGCUGGGUUCAGCUGUGCCCUCUGCUCACCCUGCAGCAGCCGGGCACUGUCCUGUGUGUGUGGCUGCGGUGCCAGUGCUGGAUCCUCAGUCUCCAGCAGAGCCUGCUGCCAGUUGCUGCCUGGUGAUCCAGACAGGAUCCCGGCCUCUCGUGGGGCCCACUGCCAGUCAGUACCUGGUGAUGCACCUAGGAUCCCCGGCCUCGCCUUGCAGCUGCAUGUGCUGGAACAUGGGAUGCCCUAACCCCACACCUCCCAGUAACACCUUCCCCUGCUCCUAGCAGUCAGCCUGCCCCAAAAUACCCAUAUCCCCUUUGUUCCUGGGGUUGCUGCUGUUCUUUUGCCUGCUGGCAUUUAACCCUGCCUGAGAUCUCACCCCAGGGGUGUUCAAAAAUCCAGAUCUUUCCCUGUGGAUUGUCCCUGUUUCAGCAAGUCCCACCUCUGAAUUAACAGAGCAAAAGAUAAUGCAGAAGUUCCCCCUCUGAGCAGCCACUGCUGUUCUGUUUAACUGGGAACUUCAAUGCAGCCAUUGUACAUUUUUUUCUGUUUAUCAACACGUGGUGGGUAAGAAGCCCAAGUGGAGCUGGGACCAGGAUGAGGGCAGACCUCCACAGCCACUGGUCAGCAAACAGCACCACAGCUGGGACCCUCUGCCACGUCCACUUUCGCUCCACAGGAAUCCAGGUAGGCUGUGCAGGACAAGGCUGCCUCUUGCUUUUCUCAUUACCUGUAACACUGUCAAUAAAAAAUAGUAUUUUCACACAGUGCUUUGGAUCUGAAGAGCAGCUAUCAAGCACUCACUGGUGUGGAGCAUUCUCAGAGGCUCUGUAGGUAGGGGAGGGAAGAUGAAGCCAGGUCAUGGGAGCAUAGAUAGGGAGGGAUGGAGCCAGGUUAUGAGACACUCCAUCAGGCAGUGCUGCCUCUUUAAAGUAGGAAGGAGGAUGGCGCAGAGAUGGAGAGAUCUGUGGGCUACUCCUGGGUCCUGUCUGAUCCUUAUCAUCCCAACAUUUUUGUGUAUGAUUCAACAAAGUCCUUAGCUUGCACAACUUA